rnacentral:rRNA from 1 species
GAACGAUGAAGCCCUUCGGGGUGGAUUAGUGGCGAACGGGUGAGUAACACGUGGGCAAUCUGCCCUUCACUCUGGGACAAGCCCUGGAAACGGGGUCUAAUACCGGAUGAUACUUCCACUCGCAUGGGUGGGGGUUGAAAGCUCCGGCGGUGAAGGAUGAGCCCGCGGCCUAUCAGCUUGUUGGUGAGGUAGUGGCUCACCAAGGCGACGACGGGUAGCCGGCCUGAGAGGGCGACCGGCCACACUGGGACUGAGACACGGCCCAGACUCCUACGGGAGGCAGCAGUGGGGAAUAUUGCACAAUGGGCGAAAGCCUGAUGCAGCGACGCCGCGUGAGGGAUGACGGCCUUCGGGUUGUAAACCUCUUUCAGCAGGGAAGAAGCGAAAGUGACGGUACCUGCAGAAGAAGCGCCGGCUAACUACGUGCCAGCAGCCGCGGUAAUACGUAGGGCGCAAGCGUUGUCCGGAAUUAUUGGGCGUAAAGAGCUCGUAGGCGGUCUGUCGCGUCGGAUGUGAAAGCCCGGGGCUUAACCCCGGGUCUGCAUUCGAUACGGGCAGACUAGAGUGUGGUAGGGGAGAUCGGAAUUCCUGGUGUAGCGGUGAAAUGCGCAGAUAUCAGGAGGAACACCGGUGGCGAAGGCGGAUCUCUGGGCCAUUACUGACGCUGAGGAGCGAAAGCGUGGGGAGCGAACAGGAUUAGAUACCCUGGUAGUCCACGCC